rnacentral:lncRNA from 1 species
ACAUAUUAAUAUUUUUUCUAUUUUUAAUUAAAAUUGACAGCAUAUUUUUGUCACUUGUUUUUGCAUUCAAAAUCAGUUUCAAGAAGUUAUCAUUAAAAACCCUUGACAAAAAUUUAAAAUAUUUCUAGGUAUUUAUCAAAAUGUUCAUCAACGGUAUAUUGUAUCAGCAAACUCAAGUAAAAGUAAUAUUUCCCCUGUAUAAUGUGAUUUGUCAAUCCAUGUGUGUCCAUUGGUUGCUAGGUCCCAUAGUUUCUGUAAUUGUGUACAAUUAUGUGUCAUAUUUGUCCAGGUACUAUAGAAUAUCUUUGAAUGCUAUUUGUACUGUCAGACAAUCUUGAUCUCUUUAGGGUGUCCUGUGACCGUGUCCAUGGUGUAGAUUUAGCUUGUUAAACAAGAAAGUUGUGUGAACUAGGAAUGUUAAAUUUAUUUUUAAUCAAACAUAUGCUUAUAUUAUUUAUGUGUGAAUUAUGAUUUUAUUUUAACAGUAACAAUAUGCAAUGUGCAUUAUUUUUAUGACAAUGUUGACUUGUUCAGAAUUCAAGCAUUCCAUGAAAACCUUGAUAACAUUGAUAACUUGAAGAAAAAAAUAAUGAUCUAAGCAAGAUGUCAAUCGCAAAUGUUUAAUUUAUUUAUAAUUGACUGACCAUCAAGUUUCUUAUCUGUAUAGCAGCCGUAUAAUAUUUUUUUUUAAGAAUAAAGGACAAUAGAUAAAUUAUUUUUAAUGGGAAUUUACAAGUAGAUUUUAGUUUUUAAGUUAAUGUGGAAACUGGGAGUAGUGCUGAAAUGGUUUGAAUGCUUUCUUGCCUUGCUUAAUUGAUCACUUGUUUCAACGUUAAUAAUAGUUUGUUCCUAUAUAACCAAAGAUUGUUUCUGUUUGAUAAAUUUAGCUGUUUCCUUCAUUGUGAAGUCAGGUUACCUACAAACAAAGACAAAUUCUAGUCAGUUUGAUGCAAUUUAUAUAACCAAAUUUAAUCUCCCUUUCUUUUUGUAAAUGAAAACAUACAAGAGGAAUGUGAUUUUUAUGCCGUGUUGUAAAGAUGAGGGCUAUCAAUUUUACUCUUGUACAUCCUAAAAUUGGUUUCUGUUCUCUGACUUAAGAUUGCCUCAACCAAAUGUUAUUAAUCUUAUACACAAUGCUUAUUACUGCAAUACUCAAUUUGGGUAGCGUAACUCUUGUUCUAGAGUUAUGUCCCUUUAUAAUGUUAGUUGCUAGCAGGGGCACCAUGUGUGUCCCAUGGGCAUGUUCCCCAUUCAUUUAUUAUUAAAGGGUAUACAAUUACACACAAAAAUAAAAUAUGUUUCAAGCAUUAAUGAAGCCAGAACUUUUAAUAAAUAUGUCACUAUUAGCAGUCAGAAUUAUGUCAAAAUAAGCUUAAAAACAUUGCUGAUGAGUUAUUGGCUUGCAAGUCAACCUCAUUGUGAUGGUUGGUCAAUGGCAUCUUGUCUUGUAUACAAUUAAAAUGCUGAUGCAAUAUAGUGAGUUCAUGCGCUGUACAUUGUUGGACUUGAGUAAAAUAGGUGAAUUUUUGUUUAUAGCUACGACUCCUGUAAGGCCUUGAUACAAGAAAUUUUGUUCAGUAGCAAAUUAAAUUAAUUUUAAAAUGAAUCUCAAAAGUUACUGAAGAGCUCAAAGAUAUACAGAUAUAAUGCUCACUUGGUUUAUGUUUUUGUCUUUAAAGUAUUUUAAACUUAAUAAUAGUAUUUUUAACUGAUUAGAAAAAUAAUUGUUAAAAUGUAUUCUAGAAUUAAUUAGAACAAAAUAAAAUGACUAACAUUGCUCGUAGGUUUGGCUCUCUUACCUCUAAAUUGAGAUAAAGCUCAAGUAUAAUAGGGUUAUUGCUUAGCAUAGUUAUUGACAGAUACAUAGAACCACUACAUGUAUUUUUAAUCAAAUAUGUUUUUAUAUAAUAAUAUUUGAUCAAAAUAUUGAACAAAACUUAGUUUUUGCAAGUUGUCAAUAUAAUUGAUGAUUUCUUAUUUUUGUUAACAUACAUUUUCGACUUAUGGGACCAUAUCUUUAUUGUUGUUCAAAACAAUAAAUAUAAGAUUGAACAUGAAAUCAAAGAAAAUCUUGUGAUAUUCCGGUGUCUUUAAGAACUAUAUACAGGCUCAUGUAAAGGUGGAGUUUUCUGUAAGGUGUAUUUCAGCAUUUUUAACAAAACAAAUAUAGUAUUAACAAAGAAAUUAUCUAGAAAUGAAUUUAAAAAUGUUUGAUAUAAAUAGAUGAAGAUGUUGGGUAUUCAGCAAUAUGACCGCAACUCAAAAACAUAAAAACCGUAAAGUAAAUUUUAUUUAUGCUAACUGAUAUGCUUUGUCAUUGUUGACAUCAGCUGGUAUACUUGUGUGAUCGCUUCAAGUAGUAAAGUCAUGGAAAUAUUAAUCAAUGCCAGUUACAAUUUGUCAAAGUUCAUUUUCCCCUUUAUGAAAGCAUCAGCAAAAUUAAAACAAUCACAAAACUAAAUAUCUGCAGAAUUAGAAUUAUCAAACUAAAUUAUUGUCAAGUUGGCUAGACAUGGGCUAAACACAAAAACAAAUGGCCACCAUAAUAAUGUUGGUUAACUGUGCCCAAAGUAUGCUGAAGUAACAAUGUUAAACUGAGUCUUGAUUUUUAUAUUUACAUCCUCACGUUUACUGCAAUUACAUUGUCAAUUAUGGAUUAGAUUGCUGAAUUAACUAAUUAUUUUCAAUAUCAGAUUUUAUUGCAUGAAGUAAAACUCUAUUAACAUGAUUGUAUAUUUUUUUGCACAUUAAUUGUACUUACCUGAAUUUAAUCCGUCUAAUUAUUAAAUGCAACAAACAUUUGCCAAAACAAUGCAAAGACAUUAUAACAUUGUAAGUACCAUGAACAAGUCUUUUUAUUUAUCAUUUUUAUAUGCUUUUAAACAUUUGAAUUAAUAACAAGUAAUGACAAUACCUUCAUUUUCAAGGGUAAUCAUUAAUAUACAUCCAAAUGUCAAAAUCUAUUGUUUGAAAAUUAAGAUAUAUUUGCAAGAAUUUUCAUAGUAUGAAAAAUUAACUAAAUUACUAUACAUUUUUGUUGAGCCUGCAACAUUUAUAUGAAGAUAUUUCAACAUUGUGGUUCAGUCUGUGGUUAAAUCUUUUUAAACAUCAACAACUUUGUUACAUGAAAUUUUCCACAGAUACAAAAACAGGAAAUUUUAUUUUGAUUAUAUUCAACCAAAAUAGGUCUUAAUUAGAACAGGCAAGUGUAUAAAAGAAGGAAUUUGUUUCAGUUGGUCAGUAAUUUAUAGAAAAAUUCCUUCCAUUAUUUUACACAGUUGGUGAAGAAUUUUUGUAAGUUUGGCAUAUUCUUAAAAGUACCAUGUAAAUAAAUAAGUGCAUUGAACACGUUCCUUAACAUAUGUCCCUUGUAUGUGAACAAAGAUAUACAUGUAUCACAUUAUAAUCACAACCAAUGUCAUUAAUAAAUGCUCAUUUAUUUUAUUUAUUCUGUGCAAUUAGUAUAUAAAGUUAUUAUUUUACUAAAUGUAUUUGUAUUGUUUAAUUGUUAUUUAGCAAUAUAGAAUUAAAAAUAUACAUAAAAAAUAAUAAAAAAUAUAGUAAAAUUA